rnacentral:tRNA from 1 species
GGUAGGAUACUCAAGUGGUUGAAGAGGUCUCGUUGCUAACGAGAUAGGUCGUGAUGAGCGACGCGAGAGUUCGAAUCUCUCUCCUACCU